AUCUAUCCAUGAGCAAGUUGAAGCUAGUGUAAGAACUAGUGGAGGACUGAACCCAUAGGCGUUGAAAAGCCCCGGGAUGACUUGUGGAUAGGGGUGAAAGGCCAAUCAAACUUCGUGAUAGCUGGUUCUCUCCGAAAUAUAUUUAGGUAUAGCGUUGUGUCGUAAUAUAAGGGGGUAGAGCACUGAAUGGGCUAGGGCAUACACCAAUGUACCAAACCCUAUCAAACUCCGAAUACCUUAUAUGUAAUCACAGCAGUCAGGCGGCGAGUGAUAAAAUCCGUCGUCAAGAGGGAAACAACCCAGACUACCAGCUAAGGUCCCUAAAUCUUACUUAAGUGGAAAACGAUGUGAAGUUACUUAAACAACCAGGAGGUUGGCUUAGAAGCAGCCAUCCUUUAAAGAAAGCGUAAUAGCUCACUGGUCUAGUGAUUUUGCGCGGAAAAUAUAACGGGGCUAAAGUAAGUACCGAAGCUGUAGACUUAGUUUACUAAGUGGUAGGAGAGCGUUCUAUUUGCGUCGAAGGUAUACCGGUAAGGAGUGCUGGAGCGAAUAGAAGUGAGCAUGCAGGCAUGAGUAGCGAUAAUUAAUGUGAGAAUCAUUAACGCCGUAAACCCAAGGUUUCCUACGCGAUGCUCGUCAUCGUAGGGUUAGUCGGGUCCUAAGUCGAGUCCGAAAGGGGUAGACGAUGGCAAAUUGGUUAAUAUUCCAAUACCAACAUUAGUGUGCGAUGGAAGGACGCUUAGGGCUAAGGGGGCUAGCGGAUGGAAGUGCUAGUCUAAGGUCGUAGGAGGUUGUACAGGCAAAUCCGUAUAACAAUACUCCGAGAACUGAAAGGCUUUUUGAAGUCUUCGGAUGGAUAGAAGAACCCCUGAUGCCGUCGAGCCAAGAAAAGUUUCUAAGUUUAGCUAAUGUUGCCCGUACCGUAAACCGACACAGGUGGGUGGGAUGAGUAUUCUAAGGCGCGUGGAAGAACUCUCUUUAAGGAACUCUGCAAAAUAGCACCGUAUCUUCGGUAUAAGGUGUGGUUAGCUUUGUAUUAGGAUUUACUCCGAAAGCAAGGAAACUUACAACAAAGAGUCCCUCCCGACUGUUUACCAAAAACACAGCACUCUGCUAACUCGUAAGAGGAUGUAUAGGGUGUGACGCCUGCCCGGUGCUCGAAGGUUAAUUGAUGGGGUUAGCAUUAGCGAAGCUCUUGAUCGAAGCCCGAGUAAACGGCGGCCGUAACUAUAACGGUCCUAAGGUAGCGAAAUUCCUUGUCGGUUAAAUACCGACCUGCAUGAAUGGCGUAACGAGAUGGGAGCUGUCUCAAAGAGGGAUCCAGUGAAAUUGUAGUGGAGGUGAAAAUUCCUCCUACCCGCGGCAAGACGGAAAGACCCCGUGGACCUUUACUACAGCUUGACACUGCUACUUGGAUAAGAAUGUGCAGGAUAGGUGGGAGGCUUUGAGUAUAUGACGCCAGUUGUAUAUGAGCCAUUGUUGAGAUACCACUCUUUCUUAUUUGGGUAGCUAACCAGCUUGAGUUAUCCUCAAGUGGGACAAUGUCUGGUGGGUAGUUUGACUGGGGCGGUCGCCUCCCAAAUAAUAACGGAGGCUUACAAAGGUUGGCUCAGAACGGUUGGAAAUCGUUCGUAGAGUAUAAAGGUAUAAGCCAGCUUAACUGCAAGACAUACAAGUCAAGCAGAGACGAAAGUCGGUCUUAGUGAUCCGGUGGUUCUGUGUGGAAGGGCCAUCGCUCAAAGGAUAAAAGGUACCCCGGGGAUAACAGGCUGAUCUCCCCCAAGAGCUCACAUCGACGGGGAGGUUUGGCACCUCGAUGUCGGCUCAUCGCAUCCUGGGGCUGGAGCAGGUCCCAAGGGUAUGGCUGUUCGCCAUUUAAAGCGGUACGCGAGCUGGGUUCAGAACGUCGUGAGACAGUUCGGUCCCUAUCUGCCGUGGGCGUAAGAAGAUUGAAGAGAUUUGACCCUAGUACGAGAGGACCGGGUUGAACAAACCACUGGUGUAGCUGUUGUUCUGCCAAGAGCAUCGCAGCGUAGCUAAGUUUGGAAAGGAUAAACGCUGAAAGCAUCUAAGCGUGAAGCCAACUCUAAGAUGAAUCUUCUCUAAGCUCUCUAGAAGACUACUAGUUUGAUAGGCUGGGUGUGUAAUGGAUGAAAGUCCUUUAGCUGACCAGUACUAAUAGAGCGUUUGGCUUAUCUUU
rnacentral:rRNA from 1 species